rnacentral:rRNA from 1 species
GACGAACGCUGGCGGCGUGCCUAAUACAUGCAAGUCGAGCGGACUUGACAGAGCUUGCUCUGUUCAAGUUAGCGGCGGACGGGUGAGUAACACGUGGGCAACCUGCCCUGCAGAUUGGGAUAACUCCGGGAAACCGGGGCUAAUACCGAGUAACAUGGAAAACCUCAUGGUUUUCUUUUAAAAGGCGGCUUCGGGUGUAACUGCAGGAUGGGGCCGCGGCGCAUUAGCUAGUUGGCGAGGUAACGGCUCACCAAGGCGACGAUGCGUAGCCGACCUGAGAGGGUGAUCGGCCACACUGGGACUGAGACACGGCCCAGACUCCUACGGGAGGCAGCAGUAGGGAAUCUUCCGCAAUGGACGAAAGUCUGACGGAGCAACGCCGCGUGAGUGAAGAAGGUUUUCGGAUCGUAAAACUCUGUUGUUAGGGAAGAACAAGUAUCGGAGUAACUGCCGGUACCUUGACGGUACCUGACCAGAAAGCCACGGCUAACUACGUGCCAGCCGCCGCGGUAAAAC